rnacentral:rRNA from 1 species
AUGAACGCUGGCGGCGUGCCUAAUACAUGCCAGUCGAGCGAACAGAUGAGGAGCUUGCUCCUCUGACGUUAGCGGCGGACGGGUGAGUAACACGUGGAUAACCUACCUAUAAGACUGGGAUAACUUCGGGAAACCGGAGCUAAUACCGGAUAAUAUAUUGAACCGCAUGGUUCAAUAGUGAAAGACGGUUUUGCUGUCACUUAUAGAUGGAUCCGCGCCGCAUUAGCUAGUUGGUAAGGUAACGGCUUACCAAGGCAACGAUGCGUAGCCGACCUGAGAGGGUGAUCGGCCACACUGGAACUGAGACACGGUCCAGACUCCUACGGGAGGCAGCAGUAGGGAAUCUUCCGCAAUGGGCGAAAGCCUGACGAAGCAACGCCGCGUGAGUGAUGAAGGUCUUCGGAUCGUAAAACUCUGUUAUUAGGGAAGAACAAAUGUGUAAGUAACUAUGCACGUCUUGACGGUACCUAAUCAGAAAGCCACGGCUAACUACGUG